UACAGAGGCCUCAAGCGUUGUUCGGAAUCACUGGGCGUAAAGGGUGCGUAGGCGGCCUUCUAAGUCGAACGUGAAAUCCCCGGGCUCAACCCGGGAACUGCAUUCGAUACUGCGUGGCUAGAGUGCUGGAGAGGAGACUGGAAUUUACGGUGUAGCAGUGAAAUGCGUAGAUAUCGUAAGGAAGACCAGUGGCGAAGGCGAGUCUCUGGACAGCAACUGACGCUGAGGCACGAAGGCCAGGGGAGCAAACGGG
rnacentral:rRNA from 1 species